rnacentral:rRNA from 1 species
GAGUUUGAACCUGGCUCAGGAUGAACGCUGGCGGCGUGCCUAAUACAUGCAAGUCGAGCGAACCACUUCGGUGGUGAGCGGCGAACGGGUGAGUAACACGUAGGUGAUCUGCCCAUCAGACGGGGACAACGAUUGGAAACGAUCGCUAAUACCGGAUAGGACGAAAGUUUAAAGGUGCUUCUGGCACCGCUGAUGGAUGAGCCUGCGGCGCAUUAGCUAGUUGGUAGGGUAAAGGCCUACCAAGGCGACGAUGCGUAGCCGACCUGAGAGGGUGAACGGCCACACUGGGACUGAGACACGGCCCAGACUCCUACGGGAGGCAGCAGUAGGGAAUCUUCGGCAAUGGGCGAAAGCCUGACCGAGCAACGCCGCGUGAAUGAUGAAGGCCUUCGGGUUGUAAAAUUCUGUUAUAAGGGAAGAACGACUUUAGUAGGAAAUGGCUAGAGUGUGACGGUACCUUAUGAGAAAGCCACGGCUAACUACGUGCCAGCAGCCGCGGUAAUACGUAGGUGGCGAGCGUUAUCCGGAAUCAUUGGGCGUAAAGAGCGCGCAGGUGGUUGAUUAAGUCUGAUGUGAAAGCCCACGGCUUAACCGUGGAGGGUCAUUGGAAACUGGUCGACUUGAGUGCAGAAGA